rnacentral:lncRNA from 1 species
UGCGAGCCCCUGUCCCUAUGUGUAUAGGCUGCGCGUCAUUGUGCCAUUCGGAAGGGGGGUAUCUAUAUCUGCUCGCGAAGGAAACCUUGCGGCCCUAACAUGUUAGACGAACUUUUGAAAGGCUUCAUAGUGAUCCCUGCCGACCUCCCUAGGAAGGGGGUUAAGAGGCUAAUCACCUCGGGCGAAAGGGUAAAUCAUGACUCAUGGGUAAAGAUGUGCAACCUCUGCAGAGUGUUAAAACUAGUAUACUAGCCGAGCUCACGGUCAGGAGCGGCCUUGGGGACAUCUACAUUAAGGGUGAUGAUUCCUGUGUGUUAAAAUACUCAUUAUUUAUUGUUUAAUGCUCUACAUUAUUUAUGUCACAUUGAUCAUGAGAUUGUGGGAGCUAUACAAUCUAGUUGCUAUACUUGUGGAGUUCGACAUGGACUCACUCUUGCUAUUUCCCCCAAACUUCAGGAGGAGUUUAGGCUUGUGAUCAACCAGUCAGUUGGAUCCUGUGGAGUGAAGUUAAUACCCGAAGUUUGGAGUUGUCUGUCCGCUGUUUGAUAUCAAAGGUUAUAUCUUUUAUACUAAGUACGUUAUAUAUUUAUGCAUUGUCUUUUGAUAUUACCCCUUAUUUGUAGCUAUAUGUGAGAUUUGACUUCUAGGACUCACAUAUGGUGUAUAUCUGGUUUUAUCCUUAAAAUCGGGUAUUACAAAGCGGUAUCAGAGCAAUGCUGACUGUAGGACGCAAGCCUAGUUAGAAAUUUGUCGUCUUAAGGUUUUGGAAUUGUCAUAAAAUCCUUGCUCUAUAAACCUUGGUAUUUUCAUCCAUAUUAUAUCCCUAUCCUUGCUAUUUGUCUCCACCUUGUUGCUUAUUUUAAAGACUUGUUCUCAUCCCCACUCCUUGCUUGAUAUGCUUUUAGAACUUUUUCUUACCACCUUCUGGCAUCGUUGGAAUAGGUGUUUUAAGAUAUCUACCCUUACUAUGAAGAGAACGAUAGUAUCGCAAAUUGAGUGAAGUGUGCUUAGUUGGUUUGUUAUUAUGCUUAUGCUUGAUUUGGAUCUUUGUAAUGAUUGCAAUGAUCUUGUGGGAUUUCUCCACAAUUUCAUUAGUUUAUAGACCUAAGGCAUAAGGAUUAAUGAAAUAAGUAGUUGGGUUUGGCUAUCUCUUGUUCCUAUCCGUUGCUGAUUUCUGGAGCAGUCUGCGAUGAUUCUGGUGUACCUCAAGUUUUGAUCGUGCAAAGUAUAUCAACUUUUUCUGGGAACAACUAGACUUCAAGAUCUUUCUCUGACCGCAAGAAUCACCCCCAUAUCUAUUUUGGAAUUGGAGUUAUGAAAAUCACAAGUUGAUGCAGCUGCGCUGUCAAGAAUCUGUACCAGUUUCGGUUGCUUACUGUUUUAGACAUAUAUAACUAUAGAAUUUGGAAAAGUAUUCUAUAGAAAAUUUGUAGACAAUUUUCUAUUCUUUCCAACGGUAUAAGCUGGAACUUAUUUGGAUAAGUAGAACUUGAGAUUAUGAUAUUUAUACUCGGAUGUUUCUGUUCUGCUUCAAAAUCUGGACAGAUCUGGUAUUUCUAAUUUUUCAGCCAAGUUAAAGACAGAAUCUGGGAAAACGUGGUAUACGAAACUUGUAGAGAAUUUCCCAACCUUUUCAAAAAUGUAAGGAUCAUCUCCAGAUGAGUUAAGGAGCUCUAGACAUAACUUCUGGAAGUUACUGCACCUUUGCUGAGACAUUAUCAGGAAGGAGAUUAUGUUUGGUUGUUUUACCUAAGCUUAAAGACAGAACCUAAGGAGGUCUUCUACAUGAAAGUGGUAGAGAAUUUCAUAAGUUUUCUAACGGUAUAAGCUACAACUCUAUUGGAUUAACAUAAUAAGAGUUAUACUUGUUUUACUACACUGGUGUUUUCAUAUCACGAGAAGAUUUCAGGAUACCUGUUUGUUCUCUUGCACCUAAGUUCUUUGGGAUGUCAGGAGUUCUCAAUGUUAGUUAACUUGUCUGGAAAACAUGCAAGCUACCUUUCUUGUGCCCUAGUUGACUUUUCAUAAGGGGGGUAGCCUAGUUAAAGAAGUUACAAGGAGAAUGAUUGGUUAAUGUUGGAUCAUAUGUUAGGAUCACAAAUGUUUGGUGAAUUUGGUUUUGUUCCAAGGUAUCAACCCACUUGGAGAAUAUAAUUGGAGGUUUAUGUCAUUACUGAUACUCACAGACUAAGAGUUGCGUAUGAAGAUCAGAUGACACCAAAUUCUACAAAGCUUUAUGUACAAAGUGAGAGUGAAGCAACUUAACUGUGAUAAACUGUGAUAAAGGUACUAACAAUUGGAACUUAGUCAUGAAGCCAACCUUGGAUCAAGAGACUCGGUACAACAAAUUUUAAAGACUAUAUGAUGUGUAGCAUUUAAAAAGGUUAUGAGGACUAGUCCCUAAUGUCUCCCCAAUCAAUCUCAUCUUAAGGGGGUAGCCUAAAUAAGAAGGUUGCUAAAUGAAGGUUCCAUGCGUUCUAGUGCCUUAGUUGGAAGUAUCUUUUAUGCCUCUGGAUGAGAAGUCAAUAUCAUGUGUAGGUAUUACCCUUGUUUGAGCUAUGAGUAAAAAAAAACCUUAUCUAUACAAUGUGCACUACUGAACUCUUGGAAACAAUUGAGGGAGAUGUUCGGAGUGACGAAAGCAAUGGAAUGGCUACUAAGGAGCUACUCGAGGAAGUGAAUAAGGUUCAAAAGUGGAGUGUCCAUGUUUCUUUGAUCACCAUCUUUCGAAUCUCGAGGACGAGAUUCAUCUUAAGGGGGGUAGAAUUGUAACACCCUAAACUUUAUUCCUUUUGAAAUAUAGAUAAAAUUAUUUAAUUUUGUAUUUUUGUGCUCAUGAAAAUAUAGGAAAAAUAAUAUUUUUUAUUAAAUUAAAAUUUAUUAUAAGGCAUAGCAAUAUUAUUAUGCAUACAUGCUGGUGCAUAUGUUUUGAAGUGAUGCUUGUUGCUCCUUUAUGUGUUGAUAGUAAGAAAAAUAUUUAAAAUACGUUUAGUAGAUCGAUCUUCCUUAUUUGGCACGUAUUUAUCUUUUAUCUACAACCAAAUUCCUUGUUUCUAAGCUCAAAUUUUGAUUAGGACCUUCCUAAAAUCUUUUUUUUGUCACUCAAAGCACUUCUUUUAGUUCCUGGUCCAUCAACCAAUCUCUAUAAACUUCUCGGGAUUUUUUCUGGCAUUUUCCGUGGAGCAUAAUCUAAAUUUUAGAUGCUCCAAAUUAUCUUAUCAUGAGCCCCAAAUACUUUAUUUGGGUUCUUCAUGUUUCAUAUUGUUUCUGAGAAUUUUUCCCAAAUUUUCGGAGCUUUUGAAGUAUUUUUCGUGGCUUAACUACUAAUUCUGGACUUUUCUAGAAUUAUUUUAUCCAUGAAAAUAAUUAAUCUCGAAAAUAAUAAAUCCUUCAUUUUACCCUAGGCCAACGUCAUCAUGAUUCAAAGGCCAAAUGUUUUCUUUACUAAUGGGCUUAAUAAUUAGUUAGGCCUAUUAGUAAAAAUAAAGGUUGCAAAUCAAUUAGUACCAUAUCGCUAGUUGACGCGGAGGUGGGGAGUUUCUCUCCCUAUAUAUAUGUACUAACCCCUUGGUCAAAUUACACCAAAACUACAUAAAGAGAGUCUAGUUUGGAAAUCUCUUAAAGUAGUAAAUAAUAUUUUGUCUCUCUGCUUCAUACUUCGUUGCCGAGACGUGCAGUACAUCUUCCCCGGCCGCCCCCGCUGUGGUGGUCAUCCUCUCUAAGCUCCAACCAAGCCAAUGCAGUCCACCUGAUUUCCGGCUCCUGUACGUGCCCAACACUCCUACGACGUCGACGUGGCGCACCAGCCCCUGCGAUGCCGAUGCUGCUGCCUGUCACCUUGCCGUUGUUUCUGUUGGUUGAUGCCCACCUGGAGAGAAGCUUCUACUAGGAACGAGCGAAGCUUCAAGACGUGCUAGGGCAGGUCCUAUCUUCUAUGCCAUGUUGCUUUCGGUUAAUCAACCCUGUUAUGUUAAUUCCAUAUAGUUAUGUCCUGCUGAUCUAUUAAAUAACUCUUGAUUACAAUAAUAGAUGUUACAGUCGUACUCCUAGCGUCUAUGCGUUUCAUCCUUUUGACUCUUUUCGGUUUGUUCUUUUGUGUUGUAUUUAUGACCACAUGAUCUAUAAGUUAGUAGAGAUGUUUGCCAUGCCAUAUGUUUAUAUAUUUAUCAUAAUUAAAUAUUAAUUUAAUUAAAGUAUAGGAACUUCUUUUGCAAUUUAAAACAAACAUGGGUUUACACCGUGGCUUUUUAUUAAUAAAUGCUAUUAACAAUAAACUUAAAUAUAUUUCUAAGUUUGCUUAGUUUAAAUACGUUGCAUAUGUGAUAACUCAAUUAGUUGCUUUCAUAUAUGUUUUUUUCUUUUGCAAAAAUAACGUUUAAUUUGAUUAAAUUAUAUGACACAGUUUAUAAAUAAAAUAUGAGUAGUUUUAGGUUAGUUUUUGGAUUAAAUUAUUUUUUUAACCUAACCUAAAUAACUUUUUACAUAGUUUUGCUCAAUUAAAAUAAUAAAUCAAGUAUAUAUAGUCUUUUUAAUAUAAUAUAAAAGUCUCGGUAGUCGUUUCUUAUUCAUCGUAACUCCGAUUAGUGUGCUUUUCGUGUCUGCAUGAUUGGGGCUGCGUAUAUUUGUUUUCAGACAUUUUUAUUGAUUGGUGUACUGUUCUAAUUGUAGCCUUGUUUGCUUCGUGUAUGUUUUCUUCGAUUGUUUGUGUGAUCGAUGAUCGAGUUUAGUCGGAGAGCAGUUUUUGGUGAUCAAGAUAAGAGCUUUGGCAACAAGUAAGACCAGCUGAACCAAAAGGAUAAGCAAGAGCAAUUGGAUUAAGGCAAGUAUAGCAUUUGGAUUUUAUUUCUGUGACCAUGAUCCUAUGACUAGAUUAAUGUUAAGUAAAAAAACGAUAAAAAUGACUUUUUAGCAACUUGAUGAUUUAUCUGUACGUGAUCACCCGGGACAACAGUGCAACCAUGAGGGCUAUAAUGGCUCUGGCUUUAGCUCAGUAUGAAGACCUUUUCUAGCUUGUUAGCGGUUACCCGAAAGGGCGCUAGAGGGGCUGAACCGACACGGGUAUAGUGCGAGCCCCUGUCCCUACGUGUAUAGGCUGCGCGUCAUUGUGCCAUUCGGAAGGGGGGUAUCUAUAUCUGCUCGCGAAGGAAACCUUGCGGCCCUAACAUGUUAGACGAACUUUUGAAAGGCUUCAUAGUGAUCCCUGCCGACCUCCCUAGGAAGGGGGUUAAGAGGCUGAUCACCUCGGGCGAAAGGGUAAAUCAUGACUCAUGGGUAAAGAUGUACAACCUCUGCAGAGUGUUAAAACUAGUAUACUAGCCGAGCUCACGGUCAGGAGCGGCCUUGGGGACAUCUACAUUAAGGGUGAUGAUUCCUGUGUGUUAAAAUACUCAUUAUUUAUUGUUUAAUGCUCUACAUUAUUUAUGUCACAUUGAUCAUGAGAUUGUGGGAGCUAUACAAUCUAGUUGCUAUACUUGUGGAGUU